GAGUCACAGUCGCUGUGCUGGGGAAGGAAGUAGGUGUAGAUGCAGCCACUCUCAAUACAGAGAUGCAAGCUCAUGCUUUGCGAGAACCGUAAACAUCACUAGACUUCAACCAGAUUAGUCAACACCAUUGUUAUAUGGUUAUGGCAUGUUCCCUCGCAGCGUACAUGUGCCCAGUUGAAUAGUCAACCCAAGGACUCCAGCCUGGAGCAGCAGUGGCGCCUUGCCUUCUGGAAGUAGGGUAUCGCAGCUUCUCACUCAAAACUGCACCAGUAGUAUCAAUGUUUGUAUAAGUUGAUGAGGGCUUCACAGUGCGAUGUCAGCAUCACGUGUUAUUGCUUAUUGAGCAGCGACACGACGGAUCGUGGAAUCGGACGCACCCAAACGUAUUAGUCAGCUCUCUGUUUCUCAGCGCGGACAGUGGCGAGGCUCGUCAGUCCAGUCUGGUGGAGACAAGCGUCCUUGUUCAGUUGGUGGUGGAAGUAACAGCGGCAACUGAGAGAAGAUGGUAGCGUAUGGGCGUGUGUGUCGCGUGGUGGCGACGGUGGUGGGCGUGCUGCUGGGCGUGGCCACUCUACUCAUUCUGGUUGCUAUCAUAAGGGCGGCCACACUGGAGGAGAUGGACUACCAGGAGUACGGUGUGGACCCCGGGGUGAGGGAGGAGCUGCCUGAGGCCUACCUGGCGACGCUGCCGGAGUUGAUGGCCCGCGCCUUGUCCAUCCCUACCGUGUCUCUUGAUCGCGGCGACUACGAUACCGAAGAAAUGCUACGCUUUCACCAGUUCCUUCGAGACAGUUUCCCGGAUGUGUUCAACAAGUCGUACAUCAAGGUGGAGGUCGUCAACACCUACAGCCUCCUCUUCACCGUCACCGGCGGGUCACCGGAGCUGAAGCCAUACCUGCUGAUGGGUCACAUUGACGUAGUGCCCGUGGACGAGGACAAGUGGACACAUGACCCGUGGGGCGGCCUCAUCCUCCCGGACCCCGUCACCGGGACCAAGUAUAUCUGGGGCAGAGGCGCCAUCGAUAACAAACUGGGGGUUAUGGGGAUCAUAAUGGCGCUGCAGUACUUGGCCAAGAGUGACUUCCAGCCCGCACGCUCCUUCUUCGUCGCCUUCGGUCACGAUGAAGAGGUGCGGGGUCGUGACGGCGCUGGCCACAUCGCCAGGCUGCUGCAGGGACGCGGAGUGCAGCUCGACUUCGUGCUGGACGAAGGCAUGCCAGUGCUUGAUAAAGUCAUCCCAGGGAUCCCAGUUCCCACCGCCAUGAUCGGCGUGACGGAGAAGGGCUACCUGACGCUGAAGAUGGAAGUGGAGGGCGAGGGCGGGCAUUCGUCGAUGCCGCCUAGAGACGCUGCCGUCACCCGUCUCGCCUCUGCCGUCUAUAACCUGGGCCACUAUAGACAUCCCUCCAUGUUCGGCAGAGGGCCCGCCUUCGACCUCUUCACCUACUUGGCUCCCAAGGCGUCGUGGCCGCACAAGAUGAUCUACGCCAACUUGUGGCUCUUCAAGCCCCUGAUGGAGGCCAUCAUGUCGAGGAAGCGGGACUCGGACGCCACCAUCCGCACUACCACCUCCGUCACCAUCGUCCGCGCCGGUGUUAAGGAGAACGUGGUGCCAGUAUCAGCCAGCGCCAUCAUUAAUCAUCGCAUCCACCCGGCCCAAAGCUUAGAGGAAGUCAUCGACUACGACCACCAUAUCAUCAACGACCCCUCUGUUAAGCUGACUGUGCAGGAUUACUUGGAGGCGCACCCGGUGUCACCGUACGGGCCAGAGGUAGCGGGCUGGCGCCUCAUCACCGCCGCCAUCCACCACCACUUCCCGUCAGCCAUCACAGCACCAGGUCUGCUGGUGGGCAACACAGACACCCGCUACUACCUCAACAUGACCUCCGACAUCUACCGCUUCGUGCCCCUCCUCAUGACCGCCCAGGAUCUGGUCACUAUCCAUGGCCACGACGAGCGCAUCUCCGAGGCUUCCAUUGGCGUGGCCGCCAGCUUCUACUACCACCUUAUCUUGUCGGCCAACAGAGAGGUGCCGCCGCUCCACACCCAGCCAGGUCACCGCUCUGGCGAACUCUAACCUGCCACAGCCUAGGCCAGGUCAGCUCCUUCACAUGCCCCACGUUCCUCUAACCUGCCACAGCCUAGGCCAGAGUGAAGAAAAAUGUGGGUUUUGUUCCUUAAUUUAUUCUGACCUUAUGGAGAGUGACCAGCAGCCAGACGUCCUCAGCAGCCAGACGCCUUCAGCAGCCAGACGCCUUCAGCAGCCAGACGCCUUCAGCAGCCAGACGCCUUCAGCAGCCAGACGCCUUCAGCAGCCAGACGCCUUCAGCAGCCAGACGCCCUCAGCAGCCAGACGCCCUCAGCAGCCAGACGCCCUCAGCAGCCAGACGCCCUCAGCAGCCAGACGCCCUCAGCAGCCAGACGCCCUCAGCAGCCAGACGCCCUCAGCAGCCAGACGCCCUUAGCAGCUAGACGCCUUUAGCAGCCAGACGUCCGUGGCAGCUAGACGCCCUCACCAGCCACCCGCCCACCAUGUCUACAGUGGGAGGAAUUCCAGCUUACAACUAAGACGUCCUCUCUCUCCCUUGCUCCGUAACCUGUAAGCGACGUCACCAUGAUAAACAUUGCUGACCUCUCCGCAGUGUAAUCCUCAGACAAUACAAUGGAAAUAUGAAAAUUAUUAUUAAUUUUAAAGUAUGGAUGGAAAAUGAGUUAACAUUAACUUUAUUUUGUAAGAAAUCUAAGAAUACAAGAAACUGCAAAAUGUGUGGUGACAAACGCAGCCACUCCCAGCCUCCCCCCUUGCGUGUUGGUGAAACUCUCCUGUGAAUUUGGCUUCUAUUAUUAUUAGUGCAUAGUUUGCCGAUAUUAAGCAAACUUCGUCUAACCCAGUUUUCAUCUUUUUUCGUUAGUCAAGAUACAUUUUGAUUCGCCUGCACAUCCUGGGGGGGUUUUUACUCGAUUUUGGGCCGAUCUCUGAACCUGAUGCGGUCACCCCACCUCCAUGAACACACAAGAUUCUAGUCCUGGUGUGCAGUAGGCUUGACGUUCAGUAGGCCUGUGCAAGGCCAGAGUCCUGGGAGUCAGGUGGACGUCUUGGUAGCACCGGAACCUAUGUUCCGGGCACCUUCUGAGGUUGCCCAGAAAAGGGAGAUUUGUUACAAAUAAUUUGAAUAUAUUGUUUCGUAUUAUA
rnacentral:misc_RNA from 1 species